CGAGGAUACAAGAUGAGCAUUAUUUGUAAUUCAAUAGUACAACAGUGUAAGAGUUUGUUUUGAGAUAUACUUAGACUCUGAUUUCUGCAAUGCGGUGCAUAAAUUGAUUUUGAGAUGACU